GACCUGGAUCUAUGCGAUUCCAACGCUCAAAUCUUGUCAGGACCGGAAGGUAGCAGCAAUACGAGAUGCUUGGGAUAGGCGUAGACUCCGGGUCUUU
rnacentral:SRP_RNA from 2 species